rnacentral:rRNA from 1 species
CCCUUGGAAAAGGGCAUCAUAGAGGGUGAUAAUCCCGUACAUGGCUUGGAGCGCCCGAAGCUUUGUGAUACGCUUUCUAAGAGUCGAGUUGUUUGGGAAUGCAGCUCAAAAUGGGUGGUAAAUGCCAUCUAAGGCUAAAUAUUGGGGAGAGACCGAUAGCGAACAAGUACAGUGAUGGAAAGAUGAAAAGAACUUUGAAAAGAGAGUUAAACAGUACGUGAAAUUGCCAAAAGGGAAGGGUAGGAGGUCAGAGAUGCGGCCUGGGAUUCAGCCUUGCUUUUGCUUGGUGUUUUUCCCAGAUUGCAGGCCAACGUCGGUUUUGGGCACUGGAGAAGGGUAGGAGGAACGUGGCACCUCUCGGGGUGUGUUAUAGCCUCCUACUGGAUACAGCGACCG